GACGAACGCUGGCGGCGUGCCUAAUACAUGCAAGUCGAACGCAGUGGGGACGGGUGAGUAACACGUGGGUAACCUCCCAUCAGAGGGGAUAACACUUGGCAACAGGUGCUAAACCCACACUGGUGGAUGGACUCGCAGGGCAUUAGCUAGUUGGUGGGGUAACGGCUCACCAAGGCGACGAUGCAUAGCCGACCUGAGAGGGUGAUCAGCCACACUGGGACUGAGACACGGCCCAGACUCCUACGGGAGGCAGCAGUGGGGAAUAUUCGGCAAUGGGCGAAAGUCUGACCGAGCAACGCCGCGUGAGUGAAGAAGGUUUUCGGAUCGUAAAGCACUGUUGUUGGAGAAGCGGUAUCUAACCAGAAAGCAACGGCUAACUACGUGCCAGCAGCCGCGGUAAUAC
rnacentral:rRNA from 1 species